rnacentral:lncRNA from 1 species
AUCUGUUCCAGGAACAUUGUGUCAUAGUUAGCUGCAUUAUAAAGAGGUGAAAUAAUUGGUUAUUCAGUCAGUGAUUCUACUGGAUUAAAAACAAGACAGGUUGGUAAUGAUCCAGCCAAAGUGAAUAAAAAGAGAACAGAUUACAGAUCCUUAUAAAGAUGUACACAUCCAGCAUUGGGAUAACAGAGGAAGGAAGAGCCUAUUUGGAGAGAAAUACAAUGUAAGUGAAUUUGGUAUUAUAGUAUCAGGCGAUACAAUGCUAUUGUACUGUAUUCCACACUCACAC